rfam:Myotis lucifugus cont2.65326, whole genome shotgun sequence.
GGCAGUUCUCAGGUGACGCACCCUGAAUGGGGCUCCCUCUUCUCUAGUUCCGGGUGCAUCACCCGAGAACCGCA